rnacentral:rRNA from 1 species
AGAGUUUGAUCAUGGCUCAGGACGAACGCUGGCGGCGUGCCUAAUACAUGCAAGUCGAGCGGAUCUUUAAGGGGCUUGCCCCUUGAGACUAGCGGCGGACGGGUGAGUAACACGUGGGCAACCUGCCUGUAAGAUUGGGAUAACACCGGGAAACCGGUGCUAAUACCGGGAUAAUUCUUCUCUUCACAUGAAGGGAAGCU